GAUGAACGCUAGCGGCAGGCCUAAUACAUGCAAGACGAACGGUAAGUUGAGUAGCAAUACUUAGCCAAGAGUGUCGUACGGGUGCGUAACACGUAUGCAACCUACCCUAUACAGGAGGAUAGCCUAGGGAAACCUGGAUUAACCCUUCAUAGUAUUAUUGGAUGGCAUCAUUUGAUAAUUAAAACUGAGGUGGUAUAGGAUGGGCAUGCGUCUGAUUAGUUAGUUGGCGGGGUAAUGGCCCACCAAGACGAUGAUCAGUAGGGGUUCUGAGAGGAAGAUCCCCCACACUGGCACUGAGAUACGGGCCAGACUCCUACGGGAGGCAGCAGUAGGGAAUAUUGGUCAAUGGAUGCAAGUCUGAACCAGCCAUGCCGCGUGCAGGAAGAAGGCCUUCUGGGUUGUAAACUGCUUUUGCCAGGGGAUAAAAUUUCCAUGCGUAGAAAACUGAAGGUACCUGGUGAAUAAGCCACGGCUAACUACGUGCCAGCAGCCGCGGUAAU
rnacentral:rRNA from 1 species